UGAUUUAUAUAUCUUCUUGCAUAAGUGGAUCAAGAAACUUUAAGAUGGCUAAACUGGAGGAUACAGGAAAUGUAGGCAUACCAGUAGCCCACAAAAGUAUGGAAAAAAUGAACAUUUUUAUGAACUAUUAUUCUACAAGUAUAUGUCCAAGCUAAUCAAUUCAAAACCUUAUUUGAUAAGAAAUAAAUGAUAUAUUCUACUGAAAUGUUACCACAACUUUGUAUAUUUUGACAAAUCCAGGACAAAUUCUGACAAUGUCAGGACAGAUUGAAGAACACAAUGAAAUACUUGUAGUAUAAUGGUAUACCAUCAGCUUUGACAUUCAUCCUGUCGGGGUCGUGGCUUGCUGAGAUCACUUUCUCCAUCACUCGGCAUGUAUGUGUGUAUGGAUAGAUGCUGACUUUUCUAUUUCAGUUAUGGCCUUUGGAAGCAUAAUCUCACUUUGGAAAUCUUAACUGCCUGUCUUAUUAGACCUGUAUUCUGAUUUUCCCAUCGUAUUGUCCUAAUCAAAGGGGAAGAAAACCCAAAACCUAAAGUAAUCAUUUCCAAAGCAGAGCAUGAGGAUUCAGCUCCAUGCUAACUCUGCAUGAAUGUGUGUUUGGCUUUCUCAUGUUUACAUGUAAUUGAUUAUGUUUUCCUUUUGCUUUUUAGAAUCACCUGAGAAAUGUCUUCACCUGAAGCCCACCAUUGAAAUGAAAGAUUCUGUUCUGAAUAAAGCAGUAGCAGUGGAGGAUUUACAGACAUGCAAAUCAGAUUUUUCUGAUUGGAGUUCUACGAGUUUGAACCUCUCUGAUAAGACUUGUCAGAGAUCGGCAAAUUUGAAAGAUGAUGACAAAUAACCACUUACAACACGAUCAGUGACUAAAAAUCUGUCACCAUCCACAGAAUUCGGGUCUCUCUAUGCAGUCCAGGCUGGCCUUGAACUCAGUAUGUAGCCCAGGUUGGCCUUGAAUUUGUGGUGAUCCUCGUUUCUUGCUGGGCCUAGGGAGAUUAUUGAGAAUUGUAGCCCUUAACAGCAAAUCACAUAGCUACAGAUGGAAAAUGAUUCCUUUUCCAGAGCAGGAACGCAUGUGGAGGCCUACUGACUUCAUUCAUUGGAUCGAACUCGGGUCCUUGCACUUGCGUAGCAGAUGGCGAAACCACUGAGCUAAAUCCCCAGCCCUAUAAGACUAAACUCAGCUCACAACCUGAAUGAUCUGGGAAACAGACUCCUCUAGAGCUCCUGAAGAAAUGCAGCCUCCUGAGACUUGGAUCGAUGCAGAUGCUGUUGUCAUAAUUUGCUAGAACAGCAGUGGAAAACUUAUGCAGACCACUUCCUGUGCUGUCAUUAGUCUUUGGAGUUCUUGGACCUCAGGUUCCAGAAGACGCUGCUGCUGCUCACCUGCAGGCUGGGUGUUCAUGUCUCCAACCUACUUCACUCCUGAGUGCAGGAGCCACCGACAGCUACGGGGGACACAGCAGGUGGCCCACUAUUGGCUCUGGGGUGCACUUACACCCUGCCUAGGAUACUGCUGAGGGAGGAUCAGGACUCUGGGUUUCAUCCAGCUUCCUAUACUUAGUGAUUUUUUUUUUUUCUCUGAAAACUCUGGACACUGCUCUGGAAAAGACUGGUACCAACAGGAAAGAAACUGCUGCAUCUUCUUCAGUCCUCCUAUGACAGCACAGGUUUUCAUUUCUAUGAAAUGGAAAUGUGGUAAGCUGGUUGAUUAGACAAUGUACCUACCCAUAGGAGAAAAUCCGAGUUGCUUUCCAUCGACUCAUCAGAGCAGCAAAAAGUCCCAUGACCAAAGCAGAGCAAUCAAAGAGCAUGUGGAAUCCAUCUGAGAUCAGACCAAGACUAUUCGUCAACACACCAUAGAAUAAUUCCACAAAGAAAGAACUAUGACCCAUGGGCACAAGAGAAGCACAGAAACCACCUGGGAUAAAGCCUGAAGCCGUUUGGCUCCACCAACAUCUAUAGAGAGCUUUCUGGAAGCUGCAUGAAAACCAACUUUACAACACAAAGCCAGUACUAGCAACAGUACUCCACCCUAGUCGGAGACCCGGCAGAGGCUGCUGCACACCGUGAAGAAGGAGAGUAUUUUCAAUCCACUGGAGAUACAGAACCCUCAGAUGUAAAGGGCUGGAAACUGAUUGUGUUAUGCCUGUAAGGCAGAAACUAAUAUCACCCAUUUCACUGAUGGAAAAGCCAAAGCUCAGAAAAGGGACAGGAACUGCUCCAGAUCAUUCAUGAAGAAAGAAGGAACUCCUAAGCCACCAAGAAAGAUGGUGUGAAUCAUUAUUUGACAAUAUGUGAAAACACCGUGCAGUCUCUCAGGUGCUCGAUUGUCCAAGGGCUAUCAAAACUGAUAAUGGAACUACAGCACUCUGAAAAAAGAGACUGAAGAGGAUAUAAGAAAAUGGAAAUACAUCCCUUAGGAAGAACCCAUAUAGUGAAAAUGGCCAUACUUCCUGAACUACUAUAUAGAUUUAAUGCAAUGCCAAUUGAAAUUCCAACAGUGUACUU